rnacentral:rRNA from 1 species
CACGUAGGGGGCGAGCGUUGUCCGGAAUUACUGGGCGUAAAGCGUGCGUAGGCGGUUAUGUAAGUCAGAUGUGAAAGCCCCGGGCUCAACCUGGGAAUUGCAUUUGAGACUGCAUAGCUAGGGUGCGGAAGAGGGAAGCGGAAUUUCCGGUGUAGCGGUGAAAUGCGUAGAUAUCUGGAGGAACACCGGUGGCGAAGGCGGCAUCCUGGACCAACACUGACACUGAGGAGCGAAAGCCAGGGGAGCAAACGGG